rnacentral:rRNA from 1 species
AUUGAACGCUAGCGGGAGGCUUAACACAUGCAAGUCGAACGAGUGGCGGACGGGUUAGUAAUAUAUCGGAACGUGCCUAGUAGCGGGGGAUAACUACUCGACACAGUAGCUAAUACCGCCUACCAUCGGAGCGGCCCGUAUCGGAUUAGCUAGUUGGUGGGGUAAAAGCUCACCAAGGCCACGAUCCCUAGCUGGUUUGAGAGGAUGACCAGCAACACUGGGACUGAACCACGGCCCAGACUCCUACGGGAGGGAGCAGUGGGGAAUUUUGGACAAUGGGGGAAACCCUGAUACAGCCAUCCCGCGUGUGUGAGAAGUCCUGCGGGUUGUAAAGUACUGUUGGCAGAGAAGCGUGAUCAGCAGAAUAAGCCCCGGCUAACUACGUGCCAGCAGCCGCGGUAAUAC